GCCCCACCUCUCCUCUUACUAGAGAAUACAAUGCUCUUCUCUUCUUCCUUUGAAAUUUUUUUGUGAACCUUUUCUCCUUGCCAUAGACAUAGUCACCCCCCUUUCAAGAUAUGCAGCCUAGUUAUGGUGUACCGGACAUCCAUCGUCAGCAACAAAACCACCACCACCUCCAGCAGUUCAUUGAAAAUGAUGAUUGUUGCUCAUCAGUCUUACCCAUUUCCAAUCCAUCUCAAAAUUUAAAUCAUCCCUAUCAACCCCACCUACCACAACAAAAACAACCAGAAUAUAUAUUUUUGCAACAGCAGCAGAAUUCCAUUCCCAUUCUCCAUCAAUUGUUCGAGCAUCAGCAUCAACCCCAACAGCAAGAUUUUAGGCAAUUUCAAUCACAGGAAGAGAGAUUAUACUCACAAAUACGGCAUCAACAUCAGCAGGUCCAAGCCCAACCACCACAUCCUCCCUUUUUCUCUGUGAAAUUCAAGUUGGGACUCGACCAAAAUGGUGGCAACAAAGAGUGCGCUUUAAAUCAGCGAGAAGCUACUGAUUUUCUUAAUGGAAAUGAGCAUAAUCCUCCACAUGUGCCCCCAGUAAUGCCUCAUUGUUGGCAUCCCCAGGAAGAUUCUACGUCCAUCAAAGAACCUUUUUGGUAAUUUAAUGCUAUAAAAAAAGAAAAAAAUGGUUAUUCAUUUAUUUAUUUUGUUUUUGUUGUUCUUUAAGUGGGAAUGAUAAAUGUUACAGGAAACCGCUCAGUAGAAGUAAAAAUAAGCAGCAGGAUGAAAAUGGCGAGCAAGAAGUUCAGAGAAAAAAAAAUGAGCACUGUAAGUUCUUGGAUACACAGCAAAUUGAUGAAAGAAAUGAAAGGUGCAAGGAUUUGGAGAACAAAUACAGGCUCUUUGGCGAGCUCGAGGCUAUCUACAGCCUCGCUAAAGUCGGUGAAGCAAAUCAAACAGGUUCUGGGUCCGCUCUCACCGGAGAAACCUCUCCAACAAAUGCCGGUCUUUCAGUGCCAUUUAAUGCUGUUCACGGCCAAAAUGUUGGUGCUGGUAACGCUGGGAAUGGAAUUGAUCACGGUUCAGAGAACUCUAUUGGAGAGGAAGCUUCCUUGAGAAAGAGCCAAAAGAGGAUAAGAAAGAGGAAAAUGAAAAAGAAACUGAGUACCAUGGCUGAAUUCUUUGAGAACUUGGUGAAGCAGGUGAUGGAUCACCAAGAGAUUUUGCAUAGGAAUUUCUUGGAAGUAAUCGAACGGAUGGAUAAAGAGAGAACAAAGAGAGAAGAAGCAUGGCGGUGCCAAGAAGCUGAAAAGUACAAUAGAGAAGCCGUUUCUAGAGCACACGAGCAGGCUCUAGCUUCAAGAAGAGAGGCUCAAAUUGUUUCAUACGUAGAAAAAAUCACAGGACAAAGCAUCGAUCUUCCCGCCAGAAAGACUCCAUUGUUGCUGCAACCAGAAAUUCCAGAAGAACCCACCAAACGAUUGACGCCUAUAAUAACUGACAGCCAUAGCAGAUGGCCUGAAGCUGAAGUUGAGGCAUUGAUCCAAGUUAGGAGCAGCGUAGAGACAAAGUUUCAGGAACCUGGCUUAAAGGGUCCUCUAUGGGAAGAGGUAAGCUCUUUAAUGGCUUCCAUGGGUUAUCAAAGAAGUGCCAAGAGGUGCAAAGAGAAGUGGGAGAACAUCAACAAGUACUUUAGAAAAGCCAAAGAAAGUACAAAGAAGAGGUCUCAGCAGUCCAAAACGUGCUCUUAUUUUGACCAAUUGGAUCAGCUUUAUUCAAGAACUUUUAUUAACUCUCCUUUCAACAAUUCCUCUAGUAACGAGAUUGAGGUAGAAAAGCAAGGUCAUUCAGAGCUUCUAGAAGCCUUCAUUGCAGGGAAAGACAUUGCAACCUCAAUAAAUCCUUCUAGUGGGAACGUGAUAAUUGCAGAUAUGGGAUCUUCCAGAUUGGAAUUUGGUGGCAUUAUUAACGAGAAAGUAGAGCGAGGAAGCCAUGAACAAGAGAAAGAAAACCAUGAAGAUUAUUAUGACGAGAAGGGUGAAGAGGAUCGAAGUAUUGAUAGUGAUGAGGAAAUUGGAAAUUUUAGAUGAGUUUUAGAGGCAAAUGGUAUUGAAUUUCUUUCUUCUAGUCAUUUGAUUUCAAGCUUGUUAGUUUUUGCUCGAUAUGAAUGUUUUUGUUUUUUUAUUUUUUUGUUUUUGGGCUAUCAGUGACUUUGAACUCGUAUAGAUCGUUGUUUUGUUUGGGUUUGAAGCGAAAGGUCGACCAUUAUGGAGCCAAGAAUUCAUGUAGAUGACUGUAGGAAUUCUUGGUCAAAUUCAAGAAAAGAACAUUCAUGUGUUUUCAAGAGAAUCAAGGAAAAUCAAUGGAAAAUCUAGUGAAGUGAUAGGAAAUACCUAUUUUAAGAAACA
rnacentral:misc_RNA from 1 species